ACGCUUUGUUUUUAAUUGAUAUGAAGAGCUUGCUCUGAUUUGAUUUUAUCUGACAAAGAGUGGCGAACGGGUGAGUAACACGUGGGUAACCUACCUCUUAGCAGGGGAUAACAUUUGGAAACAAGUGCUAAUACCGUAUAACACUAACAACCGCAUGGUUGUUAGUUGAAAGAUGGUUCUGCUAUCACUAAGAGAUGGACCCGCGGUGCAUUAGCUAGUUGGUAAGGUAAUGGCUUACCAAGGCGAUGAUGCGUAGCCGAGUUGAGAGACUGAUCGGCCACAAUGGGACUGAGACACGGCCCAUACUCCUACGGGAGGCAGCAGUAGGGAAUCUUCCACAAUGGGCGCAAGCCUGAUGGAGCAACGCCGCGUGUGUGAUGAAGGGUUUCGGCUCGUAAAACACUGUUAUAAGAGAAGAACGACAUUGAGAGUAACUGUUCAGUGUGUGACGGUAUCUUAUCAGAAAGGAACGGCUAAAUACGUGCCAGCAGCCGCGGUAAUACGUAUGUUCCAAGCGUUAUCCGGAUUUAUUGGGCGUAAAGCGAGCGCAGACGGUUAUUUAAGUCUGAAGUGAAAGCCCUCAGCUCAACUGAGGAAGGGCUUUGGAAACUGGAUAACUUGAGUGCAGUAGAGGAAAGUGGAACUCCAUGUGUAGCGGUGAAAUGCGUAGAUAUAUGGAAGAACACCGGUGGCGAAAGCGGCUUUCUGGACUGUAACUGACGU
rnacentral:rRNA from 1 species